AGUGAACGCUGGCGGUAGGCCUAACACAUGCAAGUCGAACGGCAGCACAGUAAGAGCUUGCUCUUACGGGUGGCGAGUGGCGGACGGGUGAGGAAUACAUCGGAAUCUACUUUUUCGUGGGGGAUAACGUAGGGAAACUUACGCUAAUACCGCAUACGACCUACGGGUGAAAGCAGGGGAUCUUCGGACCUUGCGCGAUUGAAUGAGCCGAUGUCGGAUUAGCUAGUUGGCGGGGUAAAGGCCCACCAAGGCGACGAUCCGUAGCUGGUCUGAGAGGAUGAGCUGCCACAGUGGGACUGAGAAAAGGGCCGGAGUCCUAGGGGGUGAGCCAUGGGGGAGUUGUGGACAAGGGGCGCAAGCUAGAUCCAGAAAUGGCGAGUAGAGGAAGAAGGCCUUCGGCGUGUAAACUGCUUCGGCACGGAACGAAAAGGCUCCGGUUAAUAACCGGGGCGAAUGACGGUACCGUAAGAGUCAGCACCGGCUAGCUACGUG
rnacentral:rRNA from 1 species